rnacentral:lncRNA from 1 species
GGAAGCCCGACCAGGUGUUUGCCUCCCAGAGCCGUUUACUCUCAAUGCCAGUUGGGGCAGUUCCCUUGGCAAGAACCAUUGGGCUAUGGGAACUGACCACCCCCGGGGAAGUUCAUUGCCGAGAGAUUCAGGGGCUCACCUAGGACUGCCAUGCAGGAAGACUCCUGAGAACAAGGGGCCAUCUUGGUUGAGCUUGACCACUGAACAGAAAGGCUGAUGAGGAAGAAAUCCAUUUCAGGUCCAGGGCUGUGCUGAGAGUUUACUAAACAUGGGGCACUAUGUUGGUAUCUGACAGCCAAGCCCUAGUCUCACUGAGAAGUCUGAUUCCCGUUCCUCCAUGAGCUUACAAUCACAUUGGGAAGAUGAGCCAUGAAGUGGUACAAAGGAGUUCCUGGAAAUUGUUUGGAUGCACCAUCUAUUCAAAACCAUUGCUCGUGAGUCCCUAUUUUUCACUGGAUCUCCCUCUAUCAUGUGCGCAAUUAAACAGGUGACAUCUUAGGAAGGUAAAGGUCAAUUACUUGAAACAAAAGGCAAAUUGAGCAACAAAGGGUUAAAUCAACAACAGGCUUUCCAGUGUCUCCCAUUUCUUGAAACUCCCUUCUUGUGCCUCUAAUUUAGGAGGAAAUAAAUCUACUCAUCUCUG